rnacentral:rRNA from 1 species
UACGUAGGUGGCAAGCGUUGUCCGGAUUUACUGGGCGUAAAGAGCGCGCAGGCGGUCGUUCAAGUCGCGUGUGAAAGCCCCCGGCUCAACUGGGGAGGGUCACGCGAUACUGAUCGACUGGAAGGCAGGAGAGGGUAGUGGAAUUCCCGGUGUAGUGGUGAAAUGCGUAGAUAUCGGGAGGAACACCAGUGGCGAAGGCGACUACCUGGCCUGUUCUUGACGCUGAGGCGCGAAAGCUAGGGGAGCAAACGGGGAUU